ensembl:lncRNA
GAAUAAGUUAAAAGAUCAGAAUGAGAAGCUCUAGGCUUCGCUUGUAGCUCAGUUGGUAAAGAGUCUGACUGCUAUGCAGGAGACCUGGGUUUGAUCCCUGGGUCAGGAAGAUUCCCUGGAGAAGGAAAUGGCAACUCGCUCCAGUAUUCUUGCCUGAAGAAUCCCAUGGACAAAGGAGCCUGGCAGGCUACAGUCUAUGAGGUCACAAGAGUGACACAACUGAGCGACUAAGCACACAGCAUACAGCACGCACCCAGUCAGCAGGAGGUAGGAUGAGGAAGUAGAAGAAAGAAAAGCUGAGAGUCACAGCAGCUAGAAAUAGAAGAGACAUUAUGUAAAUACCAGAAAGCUCAGGGGAGAAAAAUGGAAUGAAAUAGUUAAAGAAAUAAGAAAAAUGUAACAGGAUUUUUGGAAAUUUCAAGACCUUAGAAUGACAAGGGCUGGUAGAGCACCAAACAAGAAGAAUAAGGAAAGCCUCCCACAGGGCCUAGCAAAGAGAAGUGGUGGACUUUACUAUCUUCCAGAAAGAAAGAGCAGCUCAUCUACAAGGAAAGAAGAAUAAGAUUGGCAUCAGAUUUCUCCACAGCAACAGUGGAUGGAAGAAAAAUUAGUGUGUUUAAGAACGGAAACUCCUUCUGUGAAAGCACUUUUGAAGCUGAUUUGUAUGUACACCUACAUUGUGAGCCACAGAUAUUUUAUUUUCAAGAAAAACAUGCUCUACAAACUCUUUCCCAACCUGUGUCAUUAAGCAAAAGCAGUUGCUUUAUUCACCACCAACCUCUGCCUGAGAUCUUUUGAAUGCAGCUUCAAAGCAGAUGGAGGCCGAAAUUGAAUUGCUGCUGACUGUUGUCCCUUGUUAUGGCCUGUGGAGAUAUGACAAUUGAGGAAGAACUUAGAGAAAUGCCAAGUAGUAGAGCAUGAAGGAGUGGGUGUGACCCACUGCCUUGGAUAUUUUAUGGCUGAUAGCAUUUGGCAAGAAAAAAUCUGCAGCCUCUAUAGUAGUCUUGCAAAUAGAUUUCAACAUCAACCAUGCGCCCACCCUCAUCCCUGUUUGAUUUGCCCUGUAAAGUAUAUAUUUGCCAAAAUCUGCCCUUCUAAUUUUCAGUUACCUCACUGGACCCCUUGUAAACACCUAAAUAUUGAAAUAAAUAACAC